rnacentral:rRNA from 1 species
GCUAGUCUUGAUGGAGUCGUCGUUGAAAUACCACCCUUCUUAUACUAGGUUCUAACUCUGAGAGGAGGACAUUGUGUGGUGGGUAGUUUGACUGGGGUGGUCGCCUCCUAAAAAGUAACGGAGGCUCGCAAAGGUAUCCUCAGUAUGGUUGGUAACCAUGCGUAGAGCGUAUAAGUAAAAGGGUGCUUGACUGGAAGAGGGACGCCUCGAGCAGGAACGAAAGUUGGCUUAAGUGAUCCGGUGGUUCCGCAUGGAAGGGCCAUCGCUCAAAGGAUAAAAGGUACUCCGGGGAUAACAGGCUGAUCUCCCCCAAGAGCUCACAUCGACGGGGAGGUUUGGCACCUCGAUGUCGGCUCGUCACAUCCUGGGGCUGGAGAAGGUCCCAAGGGUUGGGCUGUUCGCCCAUUAAAGUGGCACGCGAGCUGGGUUCAGAACGUCGCAAGACAGUUCGGUCUCUAUCUAUUGCGGGCGUAGGAGUAUUGAGGAGAACUGACACUAGUACGAGAGGACCGUGUUGGACGUACCUCUAGUGUACCAGUUGUGGUGCCAACUGCAUUGCUGGGUAGCUAUGUACGGCAUGGAUAAGCACUGAAAGCAUCUAAGUGCGAAGCCGCCUCCAAGAUGAGUACUCCCUUAAGGGUCGUGGGAGAUGACCACGUUGAUAGGCGACAGGUGUAAUUGUAGUGAUACAUUGAGCCGAGUCGUACUAAUUACCCAAGAGCUUCUACGU